GAUCCUGGCUCAGGAUGAACGCUAGCGGCAGUCUUAACACAUGCAAGUCGAGGGGCAGCAUAAUGGAUAGCAAUAUCUAUGGUGGCGACCGGCGCACGGGUGCGUAACGCGUAUGCAACCUACCUUUAACAGGGGGAUAAUACUGAGAAAUUGGUACUAAUACCCCAUAAUAUCAUAGAAGGCAUCUUUUAUGGUUGGAAAUUCCGAUGGUUAGAGAUGGGCAUGCGUUGUAUUAG
rnacentral:rRNA from 1 species